rnacentral:lncRNA from 1 species
UGAUUGCUGAUUCGCACGAUAGCGCACGACCAAUCAACGUGUUCGUCUACACUGAGGCUUCCUAUCGCGACGAUUUCCACGGAAUCAGGGAACGCACCACUGAGAACUAGAACCCCUUUUCCAGGAAUACCUGAGUAACAUGUAUAUAUUACCAUUACAAAGAUGAACCAUAAUCUGCACUACGAAUCAGACAUAACAAGAAAUGACAUUGCGAAGAAUAUGCGAAGUGUAACAGCUCGACACAAUGUAUGACAGCGGUGGAAAUAUGUCAAGGAAUUACUCAGGGGGAUUUGCUCCGUAGCUAUAUUUUCCAGAUUCGAGGAUCGCAGAAUAACAAAAAUUGGUAAACUUAUCGCGACGUUGAGUGGUCGUCACUUAUGCGAGAUCGUUUGUCACACGUGCUGCUUCGUUUCUUACUAUUUCGGUACCGGGAAUUCCCUCGUGCAUGCACGGUUCUUUGUUCUUAUUUCGAUAUACGUAUAUUCGUCACAAACACACGUACAACGAACUCGGCUCAAACUCCGUCGUUCCGCUCAAACGUUCAACGUACGUUGUACACGAAUUAAAAAGAGAAAAAAGUAGUACGCGUGGCCAGAGCUACCGUGUGCAAGAUGCAUAAUGGGAAUUUAUGGCAAUUCCCUAAUUAUGGGGAAAAGGCUAUAAAAAUUAUCGCAAAAACAUUCUGCGAUAGAGUUACACGCCCAUAAAAUUUUAUUAUUAUUGUAUCUUUUUUCUUUUUGAAAAUUUAUCUAGUAAACUUAAACUCUUUUCUUUUAUGUUAUCUUAUAUAAAUCACAACUUGAGAAAUGUUAUUUCUAAAAUAUUUAUUGGUCAGUUUUAAAAUAAGAAUAAAUGGUUACCAGACUUCACGUGAUUCAUAACCUUUCUUCAAAUUCCGUGUUUAAAUAAGAAUGCUAUUGGUAUUGUCGUUCUAAUAGGUAUGCUCAAAAUAAGCUUCAAGAAGCAAACAUUGUGAUUUACAAUCAUGUAUUGUAUCUUUAAGAAGUAGUCCCAUGUGCGACAGUUUAACAAGGCGAAAGUAGCCCUUUGGUCAGCUUAGGACGUAAAACCUUUAUCAGUUCCUUAAAGCUUAUCGACGGUAAAUACAAAUCCUAACAGAUUUAUGACCCUGCUUCGGUAAAAAGUUUUCCAGGCAAAAGGCGCAGUGUGUCAACAAAGUAUGAUUCAUAGACAUAUAAGUUGCUUAUAACGUUAAAGUAGUCUUUUAAUUGUUUCUAGGUUCUCAUUUCAUCGAGGAAAAUAAUUUUUAUGAAGACAUUGUAAAUCACCUACUACAAUAGGACUAAUCUAACUAAUUCUAGAUGAAUGUUAUUUUAAUGAAAUUAGCUUUAUUUAUCUUAGGUGGAAAUUCUUUAAUGUUGAAUUAUCCCUUGUAGACCACCUCUGAUAAAAGCGUUCGAGGUAAAUAGAAAAUCAAAUAAAAAUGAAUUUAAGAUCAUUUUCUUAUGUGGUCUUCACAUCACAUUAAACCUAUUUAACUGGAAUCUAUAUAUUUUUAUUAAUUUUUAAUUUUUUAAUUACACAAGCUUCUGAUUAGGACACAACCCGGUUAACAGACUAAAGACAAUUCUUGAUGAAUCGUGUCAAUCACGUAGUAAGAAUCGAUGACCUCGCUUACGGCAACGUUUACCAUCGACGACACAAAGGAGUAGAAAACCGAAGAUCGACGUCGCGAAUGGAUCGCGGCUUUGUUCUCCCGGCGAACAAAGAGACAUUUUAAUGAGCACGCGGCCGAAGCAGCGGGGUUAAUCGAAUGUUUGUGGGUAAACCAAAAGAUCGGCGCAAGCUGCGCGCGUGGCAUAACAAUAGUCGCCGAAAAUCAUACGAGGGAAAGGCGGAAGCCUUGAUCGGCCUUUGUAUGGGGAAAACUCGUUGUGCUCAAAACACAAGACAACGACGGUAUUUUGAAUAUUUAAGGGAACAAAGAGGAAUAGGCAAUCAGAAACACCGCCAUGAAUCAGUCGAUUCUUCGUCUUCUUCUUCUCCUUAUAUACGUGUCAAAGGAUCCGCAUGCUUUUACUCUAGCCACGGAUAAAACACGAACGCCGAGCAUUCUCUAUCGGGAAUAAAAGGAGAUACAAUGGACGGGGGAAACACCAGGAAACAAGAUUAUGCCUCCGUGACUUUGCUGCCGAUCAAAUGCUUACCGAUUCCCGCGCAUCACGUUCCACCGACUAAUCGAAAGCUUUGAGUUCUAAGAAUACUUGGAUGCGUUCGUAGCAGAUAAUCCUUUGGACGAAGCUGUAUUUCACCGUUUUAUGGCUUCUU